rnacentral:lncRNA from 1 species
AGACCUGGGAUGGGGAGGCAGUGGGAGGAAACAGGUGCUGUGUGAGCAUUACUGGCUGACCGACUCUACCCCGGACACCCAUGGUCACAUCACCAUCCACCUCCUAGCUGAGGAGCCUGAGGAUGAGUGGACCAAGCGGGAAUUCCAGCUGCAGCACGUUGUCCAGCAACAUCAACGGAGGGUGGAGCAACUGCAGUUCACCACCUGAUCCGACCACAGCAUCCUUGAGGCUCCCAGCUCCCUGCUCGCCUUUAUGGAGCUGGUACAGUAGCAGGCAAGGGCCACCCAGGGCGUGGGACCCAUCCUGGUGCACUGCAGGUGACAGCAGCUCCUCAGGGGCUGUCCCUGCGGUGUGGGCAUGGGCCGGACAGGCACCUUCGUGGCCCUGUCGAGGCUGCUGCAGCAGCUGGAGGAGGAGCAGAUGGUAGACGUGUUCCAUGCUGUGUAUGCACUCCGGAUGCACCAGCCCCUCAUGAUCCAGACCCUGAGCCAGUACGUCUUCCUGCACAGCUGCCUACUGAACAAGAUUCUGGAAGGACCCUUCAACAUCUCUGAGUCUUGGCCCAUCUCUGUGACGGACCUCCCGCAGGCGUGUGCCAAGAGGGCAGCCAGUGCCAAUGCUGGCUUCUUGAAGGAGUACGAGCUCUUGCUGUAGGCCAUCAAGGACGAGGCUGGCUUUUCCGCACCCCCGCCUGGCUAUGAGCAGGACAGCCCCGUCUCCUAUGACCGUUCUCAGGGGCAGUUUUCUCCGGUGGAGGAGAGCCCCCCUGACGACAUGCCCGAAGCCUGGCUCUUCCCUGUGAGAUGAUGCUGGUUUUGCCACUGUUUCCUGCCCUCUCUGACCACCUGUACUUCCCGGGCUGGGGCUGCUGGGGGCUCCCAGAGUUGUGGACUGGGCAGGGGGCACCUUCAGUCUCUGGAAGCCAAUGAUCUGUGCUCUGCAGGGUGGGCCCUCUGGCCGUGAUCAUACGGUGCUGACUGGCCCCGCAGGGCCAAAGGAGCUCUGGGAGCUGGUGUGGCAGCACAGGGCUCAUGUGCUUGUCUCUCUUUGCCCACCCAAUGUCAUGGAGAAGGUGACAGAGCAGAGGACAGAGGAAGGGAGGCUCAGGAGUUAGGGCCAUAGGAAUUCUGGCCAACGGAGAUGCAGCCCGUAGUCACAGACAUGGUGACGGUGCACUGGGUGGCUGAGAGCAGCACAGCAGGCUGGUUCUGUACCCUCCUCAGGGUCACACAUGGGGAGAGCAGGAAGGAAAGGGAGGUGCAGAGACUGCAAUUUCCAUACCUGGAGCCUGGGCAUGAGCUGCCCGCCACCACCCUGCUGCCCUUCCUGGCUGCUGUGGGCCAGUGCUGCUCUCGGGGCAACAACAAGAAGCCGGGCACACUGCUCAGCCACUCCAAGUGUUGUUGGACAAUGGUCUUGGGGGAGUGGACAAUGGUCUUGGGGGAGCGGACACUGGAAGCCCCUCCCUGCCCUUCUGGCAUAGCCUCAGAUCUCCCUGGGCUCUGCUUGGGUUAUGGGUCAAAAGGACACAGUCUCACAAUGCCCCUGUCUUCUCCACACCCUACCCUGUCCUCAGGAAUAUGGUGGGAAUUUACCGCCUCCCUCCCUAGGUCCAGGCUGGCCGGCUGACCAAGUGUCCGGUGUCCCUUCUCAGUCCCUGCGCCCAGGUUGGGUUUUCCCACAUCCGUGGACACCCCCGCCACACCCCCUUUAGGUACCUCAUCCACCUCUAGGUCAGUUGCAGCAAGGGUGCAACCCAGCUGGGCACCUUCCUGGCCAUGGAGCAGCUGCUGCAGCAGGCAGGGUCUGAGUGCACCGUGGAUAUCUUUAACGUGGCCCUGCAGCAGUCUCAGGCCUGUGGCCUUAUGACCCCAACACUGAAGCAGUAUGUCUACCUCUACAACUGUCUGAACAGCGCGCUGGCAGACGGGCUGCCCUGAGUCAGCACUGGUCACGGUGCAGGAGAGGCCUGGGCCCAGCGUGUGGGUCUCGUGGGCAAACAUGGAGCCGGGAUGGAAGCUAGGACCUGGAGUCUGGUUGAACUUGGUGACCUAUGGCCCCUAUGCUGUUGGUUUUUCCCCUGAAGCAAUCCUCUCCCUGCUAAUCCUCCAGUUUCUAAAUUUCCUCAGACUUUGGUCUCUCCACGUCUAGUUUCCUGUGGUGCUAAGCCCUGGAUUCAGAAUCACAGCUCCAAAUUGUUUGUCCUCUGCCUCAUCACCCUGUACGCACCAUGCUGUAUGCAGUAGGGUUUAUCCUGUUUCCCACUUCCCUUCUCCUGCCAUCCCCAGCCUUCUCUACCUGCCAGAGCCCCCAGGGGCCACCCUCAGCCCCCACCAGGAUGGAGGUGCCAGAGCUACCCUGUUACUCGGAAGGCAGGUGCUGGAGGCACCCCUCAGGCGGAGGUGCCAAGUUUUCCCUGCUCCUUCUCUGUCUCCUUCUUCCUCCCCUCUACAUAAGAGGUGGGGGAGAAAGCAGGGAAGGCAUAUGGAGAAAGGAAAAACCAGGAGGAGCAGCAGAGACCAGAAAAGAGGGUGGGGAGGCAGCUGUCUGUCCCACACACUGUAGGACUGCACUGCAUACCAUGUGCAUGAUUGCUGGUGGCCACAUGAGCUCCUGCCUGCUUCCCUGGUCAGGCUGGGAGUUUCCAGGUGCAGUGCCUGAUGCUGGACACUAACUGCCCCUGGUGGAAGGCCCUGGGAGGACACAGAGAAAGCCUGGAAAGAUCAGAGCAAGAGUCCCUGAAAUGGAGUCGGGUCUCCCCAAGGGGAAGCGGGGAGAGCUCUUUGGCCAACCUGAGUUCCUACUAAGGUGCAACGGGUCAGAAGUCAGGAGGGUCCUUCUCAGGCCUGGUUGAAGAAGGGUACAGAGGUCGUGCUGGCUGCUCAGCCGGGAGCUUUCCCAGAACGAGACUAAAGCACUGGUGCCCUCCCAGGAGGACUAAAUGCCGGUGUCCUCCAUAUGCCAUGUUUAUCAGGAGCUGAGGGUGGGCCCCCUAAUGACCCUCACAAAAGCAGGCUGGAGGCUCUGCUCUGAGCUGCCCAAGUCUGUCUCAAGCAGCUGCUGCUGAGGUUGCAACAGGGCUCAACCAUGGCUUUUCCACUCUGGGAAAAUCUCACAUUGGAGCAGCAGGAGCUGCAAAUGAGAUGGAGCCAAGGCUAUGGUUGAGUGAAGGAAGUGCAGGCUGGCCUGUGGUAGCUUUCUGCCAUAGGGCAAAGGUGGCUCUAUCUGUGAGUCUUUCUGGUCAUGUAGGCCCAUCCUCUAGCCUUCUUAGGAGGCUCAUCUUCUACUUUCAGCGCCAUGGCACCAACGGGAGGCCUAGGGUCAGGGUCUGCUCAUUUCUUGGUCCGGCUAUGCAGCCCCUCUAGCCCUGGGAGGUUAUCGGAGAGUGGAGAGGUGUUGAUGAGAGGAUUCUGGCAUGUGGAAGGACAGGGUGGAAGAAAUCCUGGAUGCCUCUGAGGUCCCAGGUUUCUGGUAUACCCUCUGGCUGGACCAUGGGGAGACAGGGCAAAAAAGGAAGGAGGGGUGCCCACAGCCUGCUCUAGCUCUGCACUGGGGCUUGGCUCAGCAUGGGAGAGACCAGAGACAGCAAGAGGCUGCGUGAAGGAAGCACAGCCAGCUCACUAUGGUCUAAGGAGAGAACAGGGAUUGGCCUCAGUUUUAACCACCGUGCCCUUUGCUCACCAGGGCUCUGGGGCCGGCCAGGUCAGCCAGUUGGUGGGAUUCCAGCCUCAGGGUGGCCGAGCUGCAGGUGCAGCACCCGGCCUCCAGGUGGCGCCAAUCUGCUUACUUUGAGGUGGCCUCUUGACAAGCAGCUGAGCUGCACGCAGUCCCUCAGCCUGCCGAGGUCCUGGGAGCAGGGAUCAAGGUGGUCCCCGUAAACCUGACAGUAAACCUGACAGAGGCUGCAGGAGUGCAUUUCCACCCAGGGUGCACUCAGCGAGUGGAACUCCACACCCGUUUCUUUGGAGUCAAGGCGCGACCUCUCAGGGAGGAGACUGCUCCUGGUUGCCCACUGCCGGGUCAUCCCAGCUUGCAGUGGAACCCUCCGCAGCCUGGCCUCUUCCAGGGUAGCCCCUCACUCCCCUCUCUCUUGUCCUAGGAUAAGGCCGAGGAGGGCUGACGAGUUCCAGCUCUGGGGAUGCCCUAUCAGCUGUGUCACCUUGAACAAAUCAUUUCUCCUCUUGGGUCUCUGUUUCCUCCAGUGUGAAACGUGGUGAAGGCAUGAGGGGCUAUGAGAGCCCCAAGGCCUCUUUCAGAGAUCUCCUCUGGGUCCCAUGUGACCCCGUGGCUAUCCCCAAAGGCAAGAGGGUCCCCAGCCCUGCAGCCAAGGCCCUGGGACACCCUUUCUAAACAAGUGCAGGUCUCUGACGGGCUGAGCUUUGCUCGCUUGGGUUUCUUUGCUUUUUUCCUUUUUUUAUCUUUCCUGAAUGAAAUUCCUGCCAGCUCCGAAGGAAGGAGGGAAGGGAGCUAGCCGCAGCGUAGAAAGUUUCCUUGACUCCUCCUCCGGCUGGGUCUCCCUCCCUUGCCAAGCCCAGCCUGUGAAACUGAAUAACGAAGAUCACUCAACAAUGCCUGCUCCUCUCUGACUGCACCGCCCCGCCGCCGACGCCCAGUAGAGCCCCCGGGGCGGUCCCCACCGACGGCGCAGCCCGCCGGGACCGGGAGAAAGCAGCUGCGGACACCGCGCCCGUGCGUCUGCGCGCCUGGCCGCCAGGUGACCCAGCAGCCCGGCCGCCGAGAUGCCCAACCCGCCCAGGCUCCGGGCGCUGUGACUUCGCGCCGCUGUGUGCGCCUCCCCGAGCGCCGGCUGCGCCCCCCAGCCCGGCCCGGGGCCUACCGCCUGCCCGGCCCCCUGCCACUGCCAGGAGGACGGCAUCAUGCUGUCUGCCGACUGCUCUUGAGCUUGGGCUGUCCGCCAUACCGGGGGACCUGGAUCCCCUGACGGCUUACCUCAGAGCAGUGCCCAGGAUGGUGGCUGAGGGUAAAGCUGACAGAACUGGAGGUGGAGGUGAGGGGAGCGUGCCCCAGUGGGGUGGAAAUAAUGUCUGUUCUUCUGCCAUGGUGAGGACAACAGGGCUGUCACACUGAGGCUGGGUGGCCUUCUUUGGGGGGGGGGUCCCAGAAGCUGGGAGGGGGGCCUUAUCCACUCUUGUCUCCUCAGAAAGGGACUCUGCCAGCACCAUCUCCCUUUACUGGGGCCUCCCGGCUCCCCCAGGGGCCUCCCUAAAGUCAUGUCCCAAGAGGCUGUGUUGGAGACACUAAUUUGUGGGCAGGCGCGGAGGCUGAAAAGCGGAGAACCAUUUUUAGCGUCUGAGUUGGGGUGAGAUGGCCCGUGAAGGGGACCCUAUUGGGGGCAGCUGUCCUGUCCGUCUGGCUCACAGGAGCUUCCCCUCAGAGCUGGAGGGCUGGGGGCUCUCGCUGCUUACCACAUGGGCAGGAGGAGGGUGAGAGAGCACAUUCCAGGCCACCUACCCGCACCCCCAGCCCCGCUCUGGGGAAAGGAGACCUCCUCCAGCCCAGCUCUGCAGGCUCCAUCAACUUCCUCAGAGGAGCUGGGAGCAGGUGGGAAAGCCUGGGGCCUUCUGCUGAGGGCUAGGAUCCCAGAGCUCCUUCUGGCCUGAGAGAGACCCCUCAUGGCUUCUAGCAUGUGGGAGUUCUAGCACGUGGGAGCUUAGAGGAAGAGGACGCUGGGCGAAUCUUUAUAGGGGCCUAGCAAGAAUUUGUGGAACUAAAAGGAUGCUCAGUGUUGGCAGUGUCCUGGUGGGAGGCAGAGGGUCCCAGAUGGCAACUCUUCAUGGGGCUCCUCUCCAAAUGUCCCUGUCCCUAGGUUGGGAUGUCCUCCUCCACUCCAAAAGGCACAGGCUGUGGGCCAGGUAAGGGAGUGAGAAGAGAAAAAUAAUGCCCAUCUUCUAGAAGGACAAAUGGAAUCCUUCACAGUGCAGCAGGUGACGGCGGAGGCAGUCAUGGGAAUAAAGCUACCAACUGCACAGAGGCUGGGUGCUCAGCAUCUGGCAAAGCAGGGCAGGCUCCGGCCCCAGCCCACACCCAGGCCAGCCCUGCUUUCAGCAGUUUUCUAUCCUGGGAGUAUGUGACAUUGGUUCAUUGGAAGACAGGGUCCUGUGGCUAAAGAGUUUAGAUAUGACUUCUGUGGAGCCUUUCUCUGGGUGAGCUGAAGGAAGGUCCCUUGCCUGGGUUGAAGGGGCAGGGGAGAUAAGGCCUUCCAGAGCUUCCUUUCCCAGUGUUAAGUCUUCCUAGACUGAUUAAUGAUCCUUUUUCUAGAAGGACCUGGGGUAGGAGGUACACUGUCACCUUUGGAAUUCAAGCAUCCUACCAUCCAUGCUGGCAGAAGAUUUUCCCACUAACUUGUCACAAUUCCCUGGGAGCUGUGAAGUCUGCAUUUGGGUUCAGUGGAGGAAGUAGCAGGCCAGAGAGGACUCGAAGAUCCUUAGAAGGAGCCAUAGACGGAACCAUAGGAGGCGCCCAGGAGCUAUGGGCUCCAGAAGGUACCCGCAAGUCCUCUUGCACAUUCCUUGACCUGGUCUCAAUAAAAAUGACAUCACAUCUCUUCCCCCACUCCACGGCUGUGAGAUUUUCUCUUUCUAGCCAAUACCUUUCAUGAAGUAGGUGCUUCCACCUCUCCAUCUUUGUUCUAGGGAAGACCAGAAAGGCAUCUUUAUAGUCAACUGGUAUUCUUUGCCUUGAUACUCAUGUCCAAAAACUAUUACCACUUUUGGGCUCAAUGCCAGGCCUGUUUGAUCAAGGUUGGGAAGACACACUUCAGAUACUCACAAUCCUUCAUAUGUCUCUCUUUUUUCAACAGUUUCCUCCUAAACUGUGGUCUCAGCGAGGCUCAUUGACACUCACCGGGGUUUCGACAUUCUCCCUGGCUAGGGCCUGUUCUGGAAAUAGACCAAGGGGGAGAUGGAGCCCCUGGCCGUGGGACAUCCAAUCUGAUGGUGAUGAGAAGGCAUGAUGCCUCUUGUUCUAUUCUUUUUUGUUUCUUCUUUUUUUUUAAAUAAAAAAGACCAGUAAUGUGCUGACUUCAUAACAAGGUUUGAGGGAGGCACUUCUCACACGUGAGCAUGAAAACCCAAUCGUCACGCUUCUUAACUGCAAAAGGAUCACCUCUUGUUCUAUUGUAUUGCAUGUACACAUGAUGCACAGACAGGAAUACACAGACAGCAAAUAACUUGUUGGGCAGAUAAUCCCCGGAGUUGUUCCUGAGUAGAAAGAUCUGGGUAGUUACUCUGGGCCCCCAAGGCUGAGCAGUGUCAGUAAACAGAUGGUGCCAGAAAAGGUAUCUCACGCAGCUAGUUGUGAAAGACGUCAGGCUCAUGCACUUGCAGUCACACCUAAGCACCCAUUUUCAUAGCCCACUGCCACCAGGGCUGAGGGAGGGGCCGCUACACCAUGCAACCCCCACUUCAGACUGCUGUUUGCUUUCUUGGGAAUUAUAACUUUAAGAUUGCCUGUGAUAACUGAUAACCACUGGACUUGUUUGAAAGGUUAGAUGGUGUGUGCAUGUGUGUCUGUAUGUGCGUGUGUGUCUGUGUGUGUCUGCGUGUUUCUCUGUGUGUGUGUAGAUACAGGGUAAUUUGCAGGGGAUGUCUACAGCCAAAAUGAUGGAGGCAGGAUGCUGGAGGCAGAGAGUAAGGGGUUGUGGCAUUUGCCACAACAAAGCAGAGUUCAAACUAUCACUUACUAGCUAUGUAACCCCCAGCCAGUUGAUUAGCCCUUCUGUGACUUAGUUUCCUCACCUGUAAACAGGGUUAAGAUCUACCUCAUAGGGUUGUUGUGUGGAUUCACUUAGAUGAUGUUUGCAAAGGGUUUGGCAUAAUGUCUGGUACAUGGGAAGAGCUCAAUAAAUGUUAGCCAGUGCUGUUAUUAGGAUAACCAGGGCGAAGAAAUGUCAGUCAUGGAAGUCUUCCUGGAGGAGGAAGUCCUGGAGCUAGCAUGGGAGGGAGGGAAGCAGGCCUAUUCUAUGAAAGGUGUAGGAUAGGUGUGUGUGUAGUUGCGGGCUGUGAGAGGUGCAAGAAGCUGCGAAGAAGAUGGAAUGAGCUCUGCUGGGAACCCAGAGUAAUUUUAGGGUUUUUUUUUUUUGUUUUUUUUUUUUUUAGAAUACAGUCUGAAAAACCAGGGAGGGGAGGGGAGCACCUGAUGGAAGACGCCAGCGUGCUCCCUUACAUGGUCUAGACGGGCCCCUGCAGGGGCUACAGAUGAGGAGGCAGAGAAACAGGCGGCCUUAACAGGGGAGAGCCAGCCUUGGAGAGGAUGUAUUGUGAAUUGGGGGUGGGGGUGCCAACGUGCCAGGUCUCAUUUCUCACUUCCAAGGCCACCCUUCCCUGGCCCAGUCUUAGUCGCCCUUUCUAAUAGAUUCUAAGAGUUUGACUCCUCCUUCCGGAAACUUGGGGUUUGUGAGUUCUAAUCUUCAGUCUCUCAGUUGCUAUGAGACCCUGUGCAAGUCCCAAAACUUCCCUGGACCUCAAUGUCCAGAGAAGCCAUGUUUUGGAUGAAAAACUAGAAAGUGGGAGAGGCAGGGCGCAAUCCUCUUUGAGUCUCCUGCUCCUGGUGUGGGACAGAGAAAGCUCCCAGGGAGAGCUGCUCAGCUGCAGGCAGUGAGGGAAGGGAAGGAGGGAAGGGGAGGACCCAGGCAGCAUCCAGACCAGGGUGGGGAAGAGAACUUAUUCUUAAGCAACUUAUUCUUAAGCAGCUUCCUGUUCUCUUAGCCUUGAACUUGAAGCCAGGAAUAGGGACAGGGAUAGAAGAGCCAAGGCUUGGAGCCGCUGGCCUAUGCAGAUGCACUUGCUUGUCCAGCAACAGUUGGACAGGGCCUGGCCUGGGCAAUGUGCUCCGGGGUGCAUGGAAAAUGUGGUCAUUCUUUGUCCGGGGGAUUCUUCUUAUUCCCUCCCAUUUCUCUUUACAGAGAAUUUUACACUUCCUUGCAGACACUGAAUUAUUGUGUUAAAUUAUUAUAACUUAAUAGCUUGUGAAAUAUACAAACAACAAGAUUAUGCCGACAUGGCUGUUAGAAGACAAGACAAAUUAGCAGACUCAUGCUCAUUUCUGUCAUUGAACAAUUCGUCUCAUUCCUUCCUCAAGGCGCUGCCGUUUUCCUGCUCUCCGUCCGUGGGGGUGUUUGUUUACACAUCUCUCGCAAGAAAAGCGCUUCUCUCUGGCUUCCCUCUGCCUCCCCCCCUCCUUCCUGCCCUCUCCCCUGCCUUCCCUUCCUCCUUCCUUCUCUCCCUCCCUCCUUUUCUCCCCGUUCCUUUCUUCCCUUCUCUCUGUCCUUCCCCCUUCCUUCCUUUACUGAUGUAACAACCUUGGUGUGCCGUGGCUAAGCCACACUCCACCCCUGACCUGCGGGGGAUGAGUCAAACGGUCAGACUUGCCUGGGCUUGUUCCACGCUCCCCUGGCUAGACAGGCGUCUACACAUUCUCAGUUAGGGGCUGGACAGGGGCAGCUGCUAGACAGGUCCUAUUCUGGGCCUCUCUGAGAAAAAGUGUCCCUGAAAAGAAAGGGAGCUCCCACUUCCAUGGACCCUUAGCCAUGCCAAGGGGCAGUACCGGCUUUCUGCUGGUGCUGAUGAGCUGUGGUGUGAACUCACGAAGGUCAGCUGAUUCACGGGCCCUGGAUCUCUGCUCUCCUUCCGCUAAGUGGGACUCGGGCCAGCCUGCCAUGAAGGAGGUAGCUGCUGCAGCUUUCAGGAAGGAACACCAGGUGUCAACCCCACCGGGUGGCCAACCCCACCUGGCUAGGACCCAGUCCCUGGUGGCUGCUCUCCCGAGAGGCGGGCAGGGCUGGGGCUAGGGGCUGUCCAGGAGUGUUCUGGACUGUCCCUUCGCCACAAUUCCCACAGGCUGCUCAGGACCGAGGCUGAGACGGGCGACCAGGACGGGAUUGUAUGGCUGCAGGAGGCUACACAGUCCCAGGAGGCUGCUUCUAAGAGGCCCACGUGGCCUGCAUGGGGAUGCGCCUGGCUGUCCAGCAUGUGGUCAUUUGAAUUGUACAUGUUUCACUGGGAUGCCUACAGAAAAGUAGACAGAAGAUGUGGAAAAAGUUUUUGAAAUGUUGCAAACUUAGCUACUUUUAAAAUAAAAAAAAUAGCUUUAUAAUUAUAAAAGCAAUAUGUAAAUCUUAAAAUAAUUUGCUACAUUCUAGUAAGCAUCUUAUGAUCUCUAUGUGCCCUAUAACAUUAUGUUGUAUAGUUUAAAUAUAUACAAUAAAAUCUAUUUUAAAAAAUAGCAGGCAAUUAAAUCUCAUUUUAAAAAGAGUCAGUUUAACUCCCUUCUAAUUUCUACCCCUCGUUUUCCCUCUGUGUGUGUGUAUGUGUGUAUGUCAUCUUCGUUAAAUGGCUCAAUGCAUUCCGAAUAUUUUUUCCGUUGUCUUCAUGAUAUAUUCAUGGGAAGGGGAGUAUGUGGCUUAUUGCUGUUAGUUUAUCAAUAGAGAAUGCUGGCCAAAUGUCUUUAAGAGUAAUGACGAUCUCAAUAGCGGUAAUGACAGCUACCACUUUCGGAGCUCCUCCUGCCUACCAGGCACCACUGGGGUCCCUCUCUGCAGCCCCUCACGCCAUCCUCCUAGUCACUUUCUGAGGUGUGUGUGGUCAUCCUCCCAUUUGCAGGAGGGCUCUGAAGCACAGGAAGGUUCGAUACUUACCCCAUGGCCGGGAUAAGAUGGGCCAGGGCCAGGCUGUGAACUAAGGCAGAGAAGGGGCUCUCCAGCACCUUUCCUGAGCCCUUGCCUCCUCUGCCUCUGCCCCAUGGCCAUCUGGUGGGUGGACACAGCUAAGCCAUGGCUAGAACCCAGCAUUCUCAUGACUGCUUUAACCAUAGAAAAUCACAAGUUGCAAGCAACGGGACACACAUUUACUUGUCUACAUUAGCACUUGUGAUGAAGAUAAUUCAUGCUAUUUUUUUCCCCAUUCGGAACGUACCUGUCCUUAGAAUAGUUAGAGAAGUUUUAUGAGGAUUGUGUAACUAGCAUUAACUUAGGUCACCUAAUUCUUGAUCAACCAAAUCGCAGGUCAAACAAAGGAGGCCUAUGCCUUCAUAGAAAGCAUCAGUUAAUGUCCAUUUAAAAACUGAUGCUGGCCGGGCCCGGUGGCUCAUGCCUGUAAUCCCAGCACUUUGGGAGGCCGAGGCGGGUGGAUCACGAGCUCAGGAGAUCGAGACCAUCCUGGCUAACACGGUGAAAACCCAUCUCUAUUAAAAAUACAAAAAUUAGCUGGGCGUGGUGGCACAUGCCUGUAAUCCCAGCUACUUGGGAGGCUGAAGCAGGGAGAAUUGCUUGAACUCUGGAGGUGAAGGUUACAGUGAACCAAGAUCGUGUCAUUUCACUACAGCCUGGGUGACAGAGCGAAAGUCUGUCUCAAAAAAAAAAAACAAACAAACUGAUGUUGCAUCUUCCAGUCUAAAAUAAAAAUACAUUGUUAACCAUUUUUAUGUUUACAAAACCUACAGUUUUAUAGUUCUAAAAGUAGUACAUGUUCAUUACUUUUUAUUUAUUUAUUUAUUUUUUGAGACAGAGUCUCACUCUGUGGCUGGAGUGCAGUGGCGCGAUCAAGGCUCACUGCAAGCUCCGCCUCCCGGGUUUACGCCAUUCUCCUGCCUCAGUCUCCCGAGUAGCUGAGAUUACAGGCAUGAGCCACCGCGCCCAGUCCAUGUUCAUUACUUUUUAAAGAUCAGUCAAUUAAAGCUAAUUUUUAAGAAAGAAUUAAGCUUAUAUAUUCUUCCAAUGUCUAACAUCUAUUUUCUUAUAAGUGUGUCUUAUUUCAUGGAAAUAAUGCCUCAUUUAUUAUUUUAGUAAGUUUUGGCAACCUAGUUAACUCAGUUCACUUGUCCAGUAUGUCAAAUCUUCAUUUUACUCUGGGACCAACUGUGAAGACAUCUGGAACCAAGGGGUGUGGUAGGGGUUAUAUGGCUCUGUUGUUUGUAGUUAGCUUUGCAUUUUUGCUUCUUGAUCAUUAGAUCAGAAACUAGACCUCAUCUCAUGAGUGCUUAUGUAUUGAUUGAUUAUUUGGGUCAGUCAGGGUUGCUGACAUUUGAAAUGCAUGCAGGGUAGGAAUAAAAUGGUUGUGAUGCAUUUGGUUAGCAAAUAGCCCACUUUCCCAGGACUGAUGAGAGGGACAUUUGGAGGCUCAUGACAGGCAGCAUGAUAGAGGGGAGUCAGCCUGGUCUCACCGGCAGGUCUUCAAAGCUCAGACUUUCGUGUCUGUGGAAGGCUGGGUUACACGAUUUAACAAAAACAAACCUGAAGAGUCCUCUUGUCAUUGGUAAGCUCCCAUCCCCAGAAAUCAUCCAGUAUAUUUCUCUCUCCACACCUGGGAGACACUUUCGAUUCAUCUAGAAGUUUCUUGAAUUGUUCUUUGGCUAGCAGCAAUUUACUUUUCUUUUCCUUGUAUUCUUCUUUUAUUCUUGUCUUGACAAACUGUUCAAAUAUCUUAAAACACAGACACAGAAGAAAAACAUCUGACAUUUUGGUAUCUUUCAUCUGACCAUCCAUAUCCAAUGUUCUCAUUUAAACAUUACCCAGCAUCAUUGUUUAUAAUCAGAAACUCUGGUCCUCCUGUCUGGUGGCACUUAGAGUCUUUUGUGCCAUAAUGCAGCAGUAUGGAGGGAGGAUUUUAUGGGGAAAUGGGGAUAGUCUUCAUGACCACAAAUAAAUAAAUAAAGGAAAACUAAGCUGCAUUGUGGGUUUUGAAAAGGUUAUUAUACUUCUUAACAAUUCUUUUUUUCAGGGACUUUUCUAGCAGUAUGACUGUUACUUGACCUUCUUUUAAAAGCAUUCCCAAAAUGCUCUAUUUUAGAUAGAUUAACAUUAACCAACAUAAUUUUUUUUAGAUCGAGUCAGCAUAAAUUUCUAAGUCAGCCUCUAGUCGUGUUUCAUCUCUUUCACCUGCAUUUUAUUUGCUGUUUGUCUGAAGAAAGGAAAGAGGAAAGCAAAUACGAAUUGUACUAUUUGUACCAAAUCUUUGGGAUUCAUUGGCAAAUAAUUUCAGUGUGGUGUAUUAUUAAAUAAAAAAAAAACUUUGUUUCCUAGGUUGAAGGUCUAAUUGAUACGUUUGACUUAUGAUGACCGUUUAUGCACUUUCAAAUGAAUUUGCUUUCAAAAUAAAUGAAGAGCAGCUGUCCUUCUUUCCUCUUUUAAGUGUUCAGCUGUGGCAUGCUCAGAGGUUCCUGCUGGAUUCCAGCUGGAGCAGUGUGAUACCCUUCUUUUUCAGCUGUUCGUGCCUUCCUUUCUUGUAUCCACCAAAGUGGAGACAAAAACAUGAUCUCAAAGAUACACAGUACCUACUUAAUUCCAGCUGAUGGGAGACCAAAGAAUUUGCAAGUGGAUGGUUUGGUAUCACUGUAAAUAAAAAGAGGGCCUGGGAAUUCUUGCGAUUCCAAAAAAAAAAAAAAAAGAAAAACAUCAUGAAAUUGCAUAUUAGAAAUGAAAUCUUGUAUUCCAAGCACAACAUGAGAAAGCAGCAAGAAUCUAUGGCAAAAGCUGUUCUUGUUCACAGCUGCUGGAGUUAUGAGCAAUAGCCUUUCAGCAUAGCUCUCAAGGAUCCAAGCGGUCUGAAUAAUUAAACCUGGGUCCCCACACGGCCCGGCGUUUCUCUACAUGCAGGUGCCAUUUCUGGGUCAAAUGUGAAACAGCCCUGCUGGAGAAACCCGGAGAAUGACUUGGCUGCCCUCUCUGCAGGCGUCUGGAACCAAGUGGUGGUUUGGAACCUGUGCUGUAGGCUGCAGUGGUCCUCACUGUGGCCUCUGAGCAGCAUCCGUCAUGCGCGGCCUCCUCACUUUCUCAUCACGGCCAGUGGCACCAGAACAUAGUAGAGCACUUAGUUCAUGCUAGUCACUUCCUAGGGUGACGUAAUUGACAUUCUCCCAAAAUGAGUCUCCCAAAAAUGACCUUAACUUGUGAAAAGAAAGUAAAUUCUGCAUCUCUGAUCCCCACUUGUGAACCUGGGUGUCUGGCACCUUGGGGAGGACUCAGGGCGCAUAAGCGGCCUCUUCUGAGGAGGUCACGGGAUGCCAGGCUGCCUGGGUCAUCAGUGUGGAAACAACUGGCCAGGAGGCCUGACCCUCAGGUACUGGGCACGCCCCUGUCUGACCAGAAAUGCAUCUCAAAUGCUGCCCCAAACAGGAAAACCCUGUUCUUCAGUGGGAAGAACACGCACAUCAGCCGGCAGGCAAUUCUGGGCAAGUCUCCAGGGCACUUCUCCUGGAACCUGGCAGCCCACAUAACGAGAUGCAAUCUCUUUGUGACAGGCCACAGAACCUCUUCUCUGUCAGAGUAAGAUGGAUCACUGUUCUAACAACUGAAAAACGGUCAUUUAUGGACUACAGAGUCAAAGAGGGACAAAGUUCUUUCAUUCCUCAUGCUACCCCAAACUCAAGAAUGUUAAAAAUAAACUGAAGAUAAGUGCUUAUGCAAACAUAAAUAAAAAUAUCAAGAGAAAGUCCACAUAGGAUCCUAUAAGGCCAAUAAAUAGCAACUGUGCACCAAUCCAACCAACUGCCAGGCCGAUCCUAGAAUGUGACCGAGGACCAAGCAGGCAGCUUCUUCUACACUCAUGCCAAGUGAGUGGGGAUGAGAAAGGAAGGGCAGGCAGGUGAAAGCCUCGACCCCAGCACUGCUCAGCCCCUUCUCCUGAGCAGCUCUCUUCCCACUUUUCUUAUUGUUUCAGAUUCCAUGUCAGUAGUGGCAAACCUUUACAGGAUUAUGAAUACAAAAUGCCACUGGUCUCCUGAAGAUACAGCAGCAAAAUGAAACAUCCACAAAUAUGACUUAAAUUGAGAAUAUGUGCAUGUCUAUAACUCCACCCUUCACUGUGCUGCGGUUGUUCUCUGGACCACUCCUAUUUCAUCAGUGUUAUUGUCAACCUGAAGAACAAGCAGAAAGAGGCUCUCUGAAAUGAAAUGGAUGCUUAUUUGGGAAGAGAGCAUUGCAACGGGAAUACACAUGCCAUCGUAAAUGACAAGAAUAUUCAGGGAGGGCUGUCUCUCCCGAUCUGAAACCCCAAUUAUACCUGUGAAGGCAUGGCAUUCUGGAACACCCCAUUUCAAAAGGAGAAAUUAUAUUUGUAAAAAUUUUCAGAACCCCUACAGACCAUAACAAAGAGUAAUGUCUUGAAAACAGGCUGAGUUUAGUUGAUUUGUAAUCAAAGUUUAACCUCUUUUAGGACCCCAUCACAUUUGGCUGCCAUAUCUCCUUGGACUCCUCUUGGCUGUGACAGGGUCUCAGACGGCCCUUGCCGUUGAUGACCUUGAUGGUUUGAAGAGCCCUAAUCAGGUGCAUUGCAGGACGCUCCUCAGUUGGGAUUUGUCUGAGGCUUUCCUCGUAAAUAGCCUGGGGUUAUGGGUUUUGGGAGGAAGACCACACAGAUAAAUGCCAUUCUCAUCAUGUCAUAACAAGGGUACACACGCUGCUGACAUGACUCUUCACUGACAGUGGUGGCUGUAGUCGGCUGGCUGAGGUCUCCCCACUGUGAAGUCCCCCUCUCCAUGCUGUACUCUCUGGAAGGACGUCGCCAUGCACAGCCGACACUUAGGGGUAUGGGUUGUGCUCCACUUCCGAGGAGGAGAAGUAGCUACAUGAGUGACUGGGAAAUGUCCUGGGGGGGAUACUCAUCCAUGCCUCCACAUUACUUAUGUACUCAAUCUUUUAUUUAUAUUGCUAUGGACUCAUGGAUACUCAGCCCAUGCUCGGGCUGGACUCCAGUGUGACUUUGCUUCUUUUCCUGCUCAGCUUCUUCGAGGUUGGCCUUGGUGAGCUCCCGUGGUGGGUUCCCAGCUCCUGUGUGCCUCUGACAGGUGCUCAUCACUUGGCUUUUUGGGCAUCUCCUUAAUUUCUGCUACUAAAGAUGCUCCUGGCUUAUCUUCUGCAUGUCCUGCCUUUGCCCUUGAAUCAGUCAAUUCUCCAAGAAGCUCUGGCUCCUUUCCUAGAACAGUGUUAGAAACCAAGAUCUGGGCACUGGUGUGUUCAUUGCUAGUGAGGUGUUGUUGCUUCUAGACUCUCUCAGCUGAUAGAGCAAGGGAAUGUUUAAGCCAUUUAGAACAUAAAUGCAUUCAUUUAAAAACAUGGACUAUGUAUUCACUGUGCCUUGGGCCCCAAGCUGGGUGUUGAGGAUCUUGAGAAAAUAAAUCAAGGAAGCCCAUGGUCUAGGGUAGUGCUGGUGAGGAGAUAACAGACUCUUGAGAUGGCACUAGGGCCAUGGCGGAGACAGACCUGGACACUAGUGGGACCCAGCAAAGACCCACAGCAGCCUGGGGAGGCGGCUUCCAGAGUGCUGCGACUUUGGAACAUGAAUACUCCUGAGGGUUCACAAACGAGCCUGGGGGGUAUUCCAGGACCAGCUGGUAGGGGGGCAAAGGUUGGGUCAUGAACUAUGGGGAAUGCAAGAAUUGCAAGAGGUUGAACAUGCCUGGGGGUGCAGAGACAGAGGCUGAGGUGCAGGGCAGUCUGAGACAUGGUUAGGAGCCUGGGCAUUCUCUUGAGAGACAGGGGAGAAGAAAAUUCAGAUGGAGCGUUCAUUUCAGGAAGGCCACCCUGGGAUCUGGGCAGGAGAUGAAUACCUGGCAGGGUCAGGGAAGGGAAGGUAAUUGAAAGUUUACAAAAACAAAACCCCAUUCACAUUCUUAAAGUAUUCUUCAUAGAGGUACUAUUUCAAUAAACACAUGCUUUAUUUGUAUAUUAUAACAGAUGAAUUUUCUUCACUGGCAAUUUCUAUCUUUAACUGUCAAAUUUAAGCCUUUUCUGUAAUACCCAUGAGCUCUUUUAUUGGGUGGGAUGACCCAGGGUCCAGCCAGGGAUUCUCCUCCACAGAGUGAGAACACGGUGAAGCAUAGCUGGGACUCAGGGCGAGGUGGCGAUUCAGGGGGGUUUCCAGGCAGAAUGGAUCCGUUUAGCUUCGACUGAGUGCACCUGCCCCCAGGAGCGGGUCUCCAGGCAGAAUGGAUCCCUUUAGCUUUGACUAGUGCACCUGCCCCCGGGAGCAUCUGGGGCUGUUAGAGAAGCUGUGGGCAGCCUCCACUCAGCCCAAUCAGAUGGCACACACCCACCUCAUGGGGACCUGUGCACAGCUGGAUGGUCCCAGCUCUGCAGGGAGAGAGGAUUAGACCCUGUGUGGCAUAACGACACCAGUUUCUGGAAAAUGUUGGAGUUCUAGAAGUAUAAUAAAAUAAUUUUUCAAUUAAUGAUGUGUAGUUUUUGCCCCCGAAGGGAUUUAUAAUCUCUAUAGAAGGUCAGAUAAGCCAUCUCUACAAUGAUUACAACUCAUAAUGAUAAAACCAACUGUGUCAUGUCAGGGACAGUUCAGGGAAGGGUGAGAGCACAGUGGCUGGGACCCAGGAUGGAGGUGGGGGCUGAAGUGAAGGCUGCACAGCCAUGUGUGAAACAGGGUCUUUCCCUGACCUCCAGGUGGGCGCAGGACUUCUCCCAAAGGGUCCUGACAGCUAUGGGGACGAGGAGUCCUAUGAACUGCUCCUGAGGGAAGCCCGUCGUUCCCGAGCCUGUGUGAAACACUUAUGAUGCCCAGAGAGUACAUUCCAUGGGGCCACGAUUGCACACGUGUGUGUGACUAUACACACACACAUAAGCACACACACCACACAUACAAACAUUCACAGAGGCGCAUGUACACAUGCAAACACAUGAACACACCCAGGACACGCUAAGAUAUGCAUACACAGGCACACAUGUACAUAGUUGCACAAAUGCAUACAUAUGUACAAAGAUGCACACAUUGAUACACACAUGCACAUGUGUGCCUACACACACACACACACACACACACACACACAGUACCACUACCACCACCAAGGAAGUCCAACAUUGUAGAACAACCAGGGGAAGAAAGCCCGUCAACUGAGUAGACAGCAAGCUGCGUAUCUCUUUUAAGUCCGUCUAUGUCGUGGGACUGUUCUGUAAGUGGCCGUGGACAAACCCAGCUCUCCCUGUUUCUGGCUGGUACCUCUCCAGAAUGACUGGAAUGCACUGGGAAUGCAACAGACUGAGAACAAUCAGGCUUUGUUUGGGCCCCGCCCCAGAAACAAGACAUCCUUCAAGCUUUAGCCCAGCAUUCACAGGACCCCAGGGUAUAAAACCCACUGCGGGCUGCUUUCUGGGAUCCCUUGGUUACAGCAAAGGGUAGAUGCGACUCCGUCCCCUCCUUGCAGCUUUCCUGGGCCUGGGGGACUGGCUUACAAGCACCUUCAUCUUCUACCACCCUUGCUUCCUGUCUGCGGGGAAUAAACGCACUUCAGAUGAUUUGCUGCUCAUCUUCUACCACCCUUGCUUCCUGUCUGCAGGGAAUAAACCCACAUUCCCUGCCCUCCAGCACUGAAUAGUAUCCGUGGAGGACUAGUGGAGAAUAAAGAAUUUUGCUGUUGCCCAGAGAUGACCAGGCCACCCCCACGUCCUGUAUUGUCUGUGGAGGUCACAUGCGGCCAGUAAGGAGGAAUGUCUACCUCUCCCAGGCAUCGGGGUAUCAAUGGGCACCCCAAUGGGGAGCCAGGAUUGCUAUCCUCACCUAUGCUGUAAUAAAGGCCCCCCUGUGUGUAUUGAUGGAGCUCAAGUGGAAAGAUGGAUUAUACCCUCACCGAAC